GCCUUUGUGGUGUAAUGGUAGCACACUCGGCAUGUAUUCAAGAGGCCCAGGUUCAAGUCUCGGCAAGGGCA
rfam:Stegodyphus mimosarum contig170375, whole genome shotgun sequence.